GGAAAAUCAUGUUUUAAAGGUUUAAGAAAUCUCAGUUAGUGUUACUCUGUGUUCUGUAGUGACUAAGAUGAGUGUAGUUUGUUAUUGAUAAUUACACUCCAGUUUUCUUAUUAUUGCAAUAUACAAGUAAUUUGAUUGAUAAUUUAUGCCCCCGUUUUUAGCAUGAUUUUGAUUUUUAAUGUACAGUAUCAAACAGUGAAAUUCCCAGAUGGCCAAACUGACACUUAAUUCCAUUAGAUGUUUUGUUAUUUUAAAAGUGCAUGUUUACAUGUUCCUUUGAUACCAUAGAUAUAUUGUAACUUUUGGAUUUAAACAUUACAUAAGCGAUAUUUUUGGUAUCCAUGUGAUGAGAAGUUUGUUUGUUUUCAUGUAGUAGGUAGAUAUUUUCAAUUGCUUCUAGUCAUACAGUCUCACGACCAUUUUAUUCAAUGCCAUAGAUCAGUAGUGUUGAUGUUUAAUUUGAUGCAUGUAGUGCUUUAGCUUGGUAGCAAACAUUUAAAUUUUGUAUUGGGUCAAAUGUUAAGUUGUAACAAACUGUUUUUCUUUUAUUUCUUGUUCACUUUUACAUGUUUGAAAUUUAGAUUGAAUUUAUGCUUUGACAUCAAUUUUAAAACAUUUCCCUUUGGCUGUAUUGAGAUUGCAUUAUAUUAUUAAAAACCCUUCACAAUAUUUUUUAUAAAAAGACCCAGUCUCUACUUAAGUUUGUAUAUUGUAGCUAGUGCUAUUUUCUAUUAAAAAUAUGAUACUUUUG
rnacentral:misc_RNA from 1 species